GAUGAACGCUGGCGGCGUGCCUAAUACAUGCAAGUCGAGCGAAGCGGGGACGGGUGAGUAACACGUGGAUAACCUCCUAUAAGACUGGGAUAACUUCGGGAAACCGGAGCUAAACCGGAUAAUUAAAGAUGGAUCCACGCUGCAUUAGCGAUUUGGUAAGGUAACGUCUUAACAAGGCAACGAUGCAUAGACGACCUGCGAGGGUGAGCUGCCACACUGGAACUGCGACACGUGCCAGACUCCUACGGGAGGCAGCAGUAGGGAAUCUUCCGCUAUGGGCGAAAGCCGGACGGAGCAACGCCGCGUGAGUGAUGAAGGUCUGCGGAUCGUAAAACUCUGUUAUUAGGGAAGCGGUACCUAAUCAGAAAGCCACGGCUAACUACGUGCCAGCAGCCGCGGUAAUUC
rnacentral:rRNA from 1 species